GACGAACGCUGGCGGCGUGCCUAAUACAUGCAAGUUGAGCGAUGAAGAUUGGUGCUUGCACCAAUUUGAAGAGCAGCGAACGGGUGAGUAACGCGUGGGGAAUCUGCCUUUGAGCGGGGGACAACAUUUGGAAACGAAUGCUAAUACCGCAUAACAACUUUAAACAUAAGUUUUAAGUUUGAAAGAUGCAAUUGCAUCACUCAAAGAUGAUCCCGCGUUGUAUUAGCUAGUUGGUGAGGUAAAGGCUCACCAAGGCGAUGAUACAUAGCCGACCUGAGAGGGUGAUCGGCCACAUUGGGACUGAGACACGGCCCAAACGCCUACGGGAGGCAGCAGUAGGGAAUCUUCGGCAAUGGACGAAAGUCUGACCGAGCAACGCCGCGUGAGUGAAGAAGGGUUUCGGAUCGUAAAACUCUGUUGGUAGAGAAGAACGUUGGUGAGAGUGGAAAGCUCAUCAAGUGACGGUAACUACCCAGAAAGGGACGGCUAACUACGUG
rnacentral:rRNA from 1 species